CCCUUUUCCGCACAAUCUGUUCUGUUUCACAACAGAGACCAAACUCUCCAAAGUUCCCCUCAAGCAGAGACCAAAUUGGGGUCUGUCAAACACAAUUAGCAUCAGCGUAGAUUUCUCGAAAAAUAGUUUUCCUCUUCUGUCUCAGAGAGAAGACUGGAGUAGAUACAUCGGUAAAGAAAAAUAAAGUGGGAUUUUAAAAAAAUGAAAAAUG